GUUCUAAACUAUCACAACUGCAGAAGACAUUCAUCUACUACUCAGACAGGUAACAAUCAGACAUGAAACUCAAGACCAGUCGUCAAUAAACUCCCUGCCUGCUAAUUUCUGUCGGGACAAUGAACAUGAGCCUGGAGCAUCCCCCAGAGACUGAUCAGAAGGACCAGAAUGUCAGAGGAAGAGCCACUGAAAAUAGAUCAUAAAACAGCAGAGCCUGGCACAGUGUGUUUGAAAAGCAGCGUUUAACUCAGCCUCAGUAGAGAAAGAAGACUCAUCAUCAUCCCAUUACCUAAUGAAAUGUGGCUCUGCUAUCACAGUCAUUCAGAACACAAGAGGAGUCCAGCCAAUAGAAGUUAACAAAAUAAAAGUAAAUUCUGCAAGACAUGGAUUACCGUUCAUAGUUUACCAAGAAGGAUACUGAAUUUUACAGAAAUUAAGGACUAAGCUCAAGGUCAAUAUCUAUUUAAGUGGCAUCCCCAAAGGGUGUCCUUUCGCACAGGUAAUGCUGAACCUGAUGCCUGACCACACAUCGAGAGGAAGCUCAGGGCCUGACUGCUGAAGAUGCAAUGCUGUAGACUAUGAGGAUGGAUUGCUCAGUAGGAAAAGAGCUUUGCUGCAUAAGCAUGAAGGCCUGAGUUCAGAUCCCACCACUCAUGUAUAUGUUAGGCAUGAUUGUGCAGGUCUGAAACCCCAAUGGUGGGGAGCCAAAGACAGGCAGACCCUGGAUGACUUGCUGGCAAGCCAGACUAUCCAAUUCAGGUGAGCUCAGUGAAAGACUGUCUCAAACACUAAGGUGAAAGGAGAUAGAAGAAGACACCCAGAAUCAACCUCUGGCCUCCAACAUGUGCACACACAGGAAAGUGCACACAUAGCAUGUAUGCAUACAUGCAAAACACACACACACACACACCCUACAAAAACUAGAAUUUAAGAAAAUAAUAAUAAUACAGCUUAAAAAUAAAACAAAACAGCAAAACUGCCUUGACUUCAAAGGGACAUAAAUGGCAGUCAACAGCCAUAUGCUCAUCCUGACUGACAACCCCUAUGACUUAAGUGUCAACAUUUCCCCAAAACAGCAAGAAAAAAGUUGCAAGUGAUUUUAAAUGUUUAUGUGUCUUAAUGCGAUUCGAUCCAUCUGAAAGCUCCCAUCAUUUUGGAUCGUCUCCAUUUUGGAAGAGUUAGGAAAACAGUUGGCAGUACUUUGUGCAUUUUGUUUUAAUUGAGGGGAGGGCAUUUGAGAUCUGCAACUAAAAGAGAGGUUUGGUUUGGCUGUGAUGAACUCGCGUCAUUCACAAUCUGAACUCAUUUUGAGGAAAACAACAACCGUCACACUAGUCACUUUUGCCAGGGGAGGAGGUGGGGUGAAUACUACAGGAAAGAGCUUAUUGAUAGUACCACAGGACCACAGAUCAGUCAUCAAAAGAGCAGAGAAAAUUCCACGAGCCACCAGUUGACAUUUUUUUUUAAAAGAAUAGACUUUCAUCAUGGUACUUUUGAAAGGAUUGAUAAUAAUCAGCCUUUGAUAAUUGAUAAUAAUAUCUCUGUGCCUGUGGAUGAGUUAAAUAUUCAAUUUUGCACAUUGAAGAAUGACAUCGGGUAUGUAAUCUGAGGCCCUCAGUGACAGGAAAUAAGUAAAACAUCUCUGAGGGGAUCCUCUCUUUUCUUUUUCUUUUCCUUUUUUCUUUUUGUCACAAAAGGAAAAGCUCAGAAAUCCCACUGCUUAGCUCUAAGAUCCUGGAAAAAUUGUAAAUGGCUCUGUUUACCUGCGGACUCAUUCUGUACCUGUAAACCUAAUAUUUACUCAUGGAGUAAUGUUCAAGAAAGCUUAUGUCCUUGUGAGGCUAACUACAACAUCCUCUCUCUAAACAAUCCACAAGCUGUGAAAGUGGAGGAGAUGGUGAUAAAGCAUGAUAUUCUUCCAUGAUGUUGGACCACAGAAAGUGGAAUGCAGUUGAGUGUUAUUUCCCGUGAGAUGAACUCCAGUUAUAGCUCAAUGUUUUGGGUUUCUCGUUCAAUCAAUAAACAAAUCUGGAGGGGAUGGCAGCAUGAAAUACCUCCUCGGGAGGAAGUUGCUUGUCUCCCUUUGCAGCCCUUCUGCCAUGAAAAUCAGGCCAAGAGGCUGAAGCCAAAUGCUUCAGAGGAGAAAGAAGUGAUGCAAAACCAGAUCUUCCCAAAAGAGAAACUGGGAAGCCCUGCUGCCAAAGGAGACCUUGGGGAAGAGCAGAAGAGGGGAGCAAGGAUGUGUCCUCCCAGCCAUCUUCAGGUCACAUCAUCUUCGGAUAUGAAGGUACAAGGUAAAUGAAGCUGAAUGCACAGUGUUCAGGACUUCCACUGCAAAUAUCAGAAUAAAGGAGGAAUUCCUCCAAAGCAUUGUCCUGAGAUAAAGGGCCAAGGGAAAGGAAGGCCAAAAAUGGAGACUAGCAGAGCCCAGCAGGAAUAUAAGGUGCAACUAAAAUGCUCAAGUUAGGGCUGGGAGGGGGUUCAGUCAUAAAGUGCUUGCCAUGCAAGGCUAACCCACACACACCUGUAAUCCCAGCACAUGGGAGACAGAGAUGGGCAGGUCACCUGGGGCUUGCAGACCACCCCAUCUAGCUGAACUGAGUGGGCUCCAGCUUCAGUGAGAGACUGUCUCAGACUAUAAGAUGGAAAACUUAUAGGAAGGCACUGAACUCCAGUCUCUGCACACACACACACACACACACACACACACACACACACACACACACACACAGGCGCACACACACAGUGUUUGAGUAGCCUCAUUUUGCAAAAUAAAAAGAAGCUGGCUGAAAUGGUUAGUUCCUGUAAUCCAGGAAUUUGAGAGAGAGAGGCAAGAGGAUUUCCAAGUGAAGGCCAACCUGGGCUACUUAAUAAGACUCUACCUUACAACCCUUCCCCCAAGUAGAAAUAAACAGGUAAAAUUAAUUUUGAAUAUUGAACCCAAUAUAAUGGAAACAUUGGUAUGUAAGUAAUGUGGUAUUAACCAGAUAGCUUAACUUUCGUAUUUCAAUUUAUUGGAUCUCCUUUACCGUACCUCAAUUCAGUCAACUCAUUGGUUCUACUGAUUUCUCUCUCUCUCUCUCUCUCUCUCUCUCUCUCUCUCUCUCUCUCUCUCUCUCUCUCUUUGGAGGGAGGGUAUGGGUGUGGUCUCAUGUAACCCAGGGUGGCCUUGAAUUCACUAUAUAGCCAAGGAUGACCUUGAAUUUCUGAUAUUCCGGCCACCUCUUCCUGAAUGCUAGGAUUGCAGGUGUUCGCCACCGUUCCCUGUUUCUGUCCCC